rnacentral:rRNA from 1 species
GGAGCAACUCUGAACCAGCCAUGCCGCGUGCAGGAAGACUGCCCUAUGGGUUGUAAACUGCUUUUAUACAGGAAGAAACAGCCCUACGUGUACGGGCUUGACGGUACUGUAAGAAUAAGCACCGGCUAACUCCGUGCCAGCAGCCGCGGUAAUACGGAGGGUGCAAGCGUUAUCCGGAAUCAUUGGGUUUAAAGGGUCCGCAGGCGGUCAAUUAAGUCAGAGGUGAAAUCCCAUAGCUUAACUAUGGAACUGCCUUUGAUACUGGUUGACUUGAGUUAUACGGAAGUAGAUAGAAUAUGUAGUGUAGCGGUGAAAUGCAUAGAUAUUACAUAGAAUACCGAUUGCGAAGGCAGA